rnacentral:rRNA from 1 species
GUGUCAGCAGCCGCGGUAAGACGAACCGAGCGAACGUUGUUCGGAAUCACUGGGCUUAAAGGGCGCGUAGGCGGGCAUUCAAGUCCGUGGUGAAAUCCUCCAGCUCAACUGGAGAACUGCCUCGGAUACUGGGUGCCUCGAGGGUGGUAGGGGUAUGCGGAACUAUCGGUGGAGCGGUGAAAUGCGUUGAUAUCGAUAGGAACUCCGGUGGCGAAGGCGGCAUACUGGACCACAUCUGACGCUGAGGCGCGAAAGCCAGGGGAGCGAACGGGAUUAGAAACCCGCGUAGUCC